rnacentral:lncRNA from 1 species
UUUUUUGGAGAGUUUGUCUGUAUGGACUUUAGCUGUGGUUUUGGUUUUGUUGCUUGUUUUAUGCAUGCUUUAACGAAAUGAUUUCUCUUAAAACGGCGGGUUACUUAAACAAGGUUUUCUAAAUCACGAACUGUAUUGCUUAAACAUCACAGUUUUUAACAAGUUUUCGCACUAAAGGAUUUUAAGGCAAAAGAAUAAAUGUUUUGAAAUAAAUGGAAGCAAAUAAGGGUUUAUAAGCUUAAGGUUUUUAUCGAGUUAGCUUUGUUUUCAAACCCAUUCCAUAUGAGUGUACAGGCCCAAAUUUGCCUGACCCAAAACCAAACAACCCUAGCCCACAACAUAAACAAAUUUUUCAAAAAGCAAACCCUAGCCUCUGACCUUCCUGCAACGCUGCCACCGGCCUCUUCUGACAGCACCUGCAAAACCAAAACAACAAGAAAACGAAACAGGAAUAGCAAAGAGACACGCAAAGUAAAGAAAGAAAACAGCAAGCAACAAAUAGAGGAGGGUAGUAAGAUAAAUAAGAAAAAAACUGAUUAUAUUAGGGGUUUUUUUUCGAAUAAAAAAUUGUAUUGAAUACAAAAAAAGGAAAUCAAAAAAGAAAAUCAGUUUCAAAAGGUGAUUUUACGAUUCAUAUUCUAUUGAUUUUUUUUAUUUUUCUUUUAAAAAUUCCUUUAAAAAAACAAAUAAAAGAGAGAAGCGAGGGAACCCACCUGCGGUUUCGACCAUCGGAGCCCCUUUCUCCGGCGUGCAUAUCGGGCCAAGGGACGCCUUUCGUUCUCGUCGUUCCAGAGCCAUGAGCCACGAUGCGUGGAGGCACGUGGGACGCUGAUGAGGCCCUUGAGUCGGCCAAGCAAAGGAAAUAGAAAGAGGAAGGGAGAGAGCAAAAAGCACUCUGAUUUUUUUUUUAAAAAAAAGGGUGCAGAAAUGAGUUUUAGAAAAAAAAUUUGGUUUACAUAAGCUUGUUUAAACGGCGCCGUUUGGGUAAAAGGGGUAGGGUCUAUGCAUUCUAGGCUAAAGUGGGUAAUUUGCGCGGUCAACCCUCCUCAUUUGUGCUGUUGUUUAUUUAGACCCUGUUUAUCCCUUUUUUUACUUUUUAAACAUUUUGCCAAAGAAUUUUGUAUCUGUUGCAUUUUAGUCCGCAUUGAAGCACCGUGUUUUGGGGAUUUGGGUUAUUUACAUUUUUAAUCCUCGUAUGUUUGUGCGUAUUUCAUUCCGGUCCUUAACUUUGUCUUAAUAGUUUGGUUUGUUUAUAAAUUAUCCUCUUGACUUUGAUUUUGUUUCAAUUGAGUUUUUUUAGUUUACGUAAUUCUUUUGUUCUUUUUUUUAAAAAAAAAUUAACAUAUUAUUUUGAACUAUUUCAUUGAUUUUACAUUAGUUUAGUUCGUUUUUUUUAACUUUCAUUUGUAUAUUUUUAAUUGCUUUAUUAUAUAGUUGAUUUACUUUAAAAUUCUCUUUUAUAUUUCUUUGUUUUAAAGUUUAAAAAUGAUGUUUAUUUUAAAUACCCUUAUACAUUAUUAUUUUCAUACAUAUUAUUUAUAUUAAACUAUUAUUUAAUUUAAUUUAUGUACAUUAUUUAUUUAGAUAUAUAUAUAUUGUUUUAUAUAUUACUUUAAUUCUUUGCUUG